rnacentral:misc_RNA from 1 species
GGAAGGAUCAUUACUGAAUUGUCAAACGGGUUGUUGCUGGUCCUCAAAUGGGGACAUGUGCACGCUCUGUUUACACAUCCACUCACACCUGUGCACCCUCUGUAGUUCUGCGGUAUGGGGGACCCCGUCUUCCUUCUGUGGUUCUAUGUCUUUACACACACACUGUAAUAAAGUCUUAUGGAAUGUAUGCCGCGUCUAACGCAAUACAAUACAACUUUCAGC